rnacentral:rRNA from 1 species
CCUACGGGAGGCAGCAGUGAGGAAUAUUGGUCAAUGGGCGCGAGCCUGAACCAGCCAAGUAGCGUGAAGGAUGACUGCCCUACGGGUUGUAAACUUCUUUUAUAAAGGAAUAAAGUGAGGCACGUGUGCCUUUUUGUAUGUACUUUAUGAAUAAGGAUCGGCUAACUCCGUGCCAGCAGCCGCGGUAAUACGGAGGAUCCGAGCGUUAUCCGGAUUGAUUGGGUUUAACGGGAGCGUAGAUGGGUUGUUAAGUCAGUUGUGAAAGUGUGCGGCUCAACCGUAAAAUUGCAAUGGAUACUGGAAGACUUGAGUACAGAUGAGGUAGGCGGAAUUCGUGGUGUAGCGGUGAAAUGCUUAGAGAUCACGAAGAACUCCGAUUGCGAAGGCAGCUUACUAAUCUGCCACUGACAUUGAUGCUCGAAAGUGUGGGUAUCAAACAGGAUUAGAUACCCCUGUAGUC